UUUUCGGUUCUUUUGGACCUACUGUGUGUACAGGGUGAUGAGAAACGGUUGGACGAGCCCGGGGUCAAUGGUAGUGGAUGAAUGACACCCCUCAAACUAAGGCUGAUAAGGCACCCCGGAAGUUGAUGCAACCUUGAGAAAAGAAGUCGGACACAUUUUGGGGACACCGGACCAAGAAAGCGGUAUGGAAAGACCAAGU
rnacentral:lncRNA from 1 species